GCGUUCCAAACCUCCUCGGCCGUGGGGACGCGCUGCUGGGCGGCAGAGUCCGCUGAGUCCAUAUUCUGGCUGGAUCGUUAUGUUACGGUUCAGUGUAGGGCACUCAAACGCAGGACUCCUGAAUCUGCUGAACACAAGGGUUUAUUUACAGAGGUCACCAAUGUGUAUAUACAGAGAGUGCGGGGUAGUGCUAUGUACAGAAAUGUGAGGGAACUGAGAUGACAAACAGCUGGAGAAUCACGGACUCCAGCUCAGAGGGCAGAGUUAUCAUGUUGGUGCUCUGCCAGUUUCUAAAGAGGUUUGCACAGAGCAUGAAGAGAAAGGCUACAGAGGAAGAGAGCAGCAGUAUAAACCCCACUCCACCAAAGAAACACUUCAGACUGUGAAGCCUUUCUCAGAGAACUUAUUUCCUGAAGACUCUUUAAUAGUUUUAAGACUUUGGCACUGCUUUUGUGAACUGUGUUGGACAAAUGGCAGGGCUGUGGACUGGAUCUUGAACGAGGAACAUCUAUUGUAGAGCCAAGUGUAAAUCUGUGCAAAACGAACUAAGGAUCCAUAAAGACAGUGCCAAGUGUACAUUAUCCUCUGCUGCAUCUCACACAUCAGCAAGAACCAACACAGUGAAUCUGGUGAAAAGGAGAAACAAAAAGAGACACACCACAAACGAGUUUCCCUGACUAACAUGAGAGGAGCAGUAACUGCAUAAGGAGGAAGAAACAGAAGCAUCCAAAGACAACUGAGAGUCUUCAGUGCACCGUGAACAGCAGUCACCUCAGAGCAACAGAGUCCUGGUGGCUGUCUGGGUUCUCUCCAGGAGCUUGGAGAUAAGAUACCAUAACUUAAAAAAAUGUUUAGAAUAAGUGUGAGCCUCUUUUACAACUUUACUUACAUCCUUCAAAUGUAAGAGCUGCUGGCACGUCUGGUGAGGGUUUGCCCACACCUAAUCUAAACCGAGCUUUAGUCCCUCUCGUACUUUGUUGAGUAUUGGCUUCAGCUGCACCAGUGCCUGCAAUGUGAGGUCAUUAAUAGACAGGGAGGAAAUAAUAGUUGAAUUAAUUCUGAAUGAAGACGUCAUGCCAAAUAUUCUUUGAUAGCCAUUACAGUCAUGAAUACACAGACUUUAUGAUUGCUUUUUUUCUUGUCAACAUGUAUUGUUCCCAAAUAACCACGGGCCACAACUGGAUCAGAUAGUUCCAUCAUUUCUCUUCAUCUGCAUUUUCGAUCUGAAAGCAGAAACAACAAUAACGAGGAGAAAUGGAAUUUUUAUAUUUAAGAACGAGGACUGUGUGGAGGAGAGCCGAGUCAGGUGACAGGUUGUUCACCUGAUCAACAAGCUGGAGUCAGAACCUGUGAUUUAUCCUCCCUGACUAUUGAGUUAUGUUUUAUGCUGAUGUUAUUUUCUUGUUUUGAGCCAAACCAGAUUUCUCUAUAGGAACUCUGUGUUAAAGGGUCAAUGCACCAAAUUAUGCUUUGAUAAGAGUUCAUUUCUCAUGCAAGGAAAGACACAAACUUCUCAGAGGGAUUAGUAGUGGGCACAAGUUAAAUGAGCUCAUAUCACUACGUUGGCUUUAUCAGCCCUGCACAGAACAGAUCGGUCUCAGACUUUUAGAUUCUCUUAAAUAAGUAGAAUCUGAAACUGAAGGUUUUAGAUUAAAUCUGAUUCCUAAAUCAAGAAGUAAAGCUUAAAGAAUAACCUAAGUUUGUAAUUUGGAACAAAGUUGUGUUAACUAAAACUAUCUUGAACUAAGGAAGGUUAAGUGUGACCUUCUUAGCUGCAAACCUAGAACUGGUCUAGUAGCUUUUAUAUCUGUCUUACUGUGACAUAAGUGCUGCAAAAGGGGUUUAUUUCUCUCUCUCUAUCUCUCAGUCCCUCUCUCCAAUUUUACCGUAUUUUCUCUAUAUAUGAUGUAGGUUUGGAUUUUCCCUGCUAAAUUGUGAUGGUCUGGCAGUCUCCAUCGGUCGAGCUGCCUGUAUGUAUGUUUUUCUGUGUGUUUUGUUUUGGCUCCCCUCCCAGUCCCCUGCUUCCUCCUUUAAGUGUGUGUGUGUAUGUGUGUGUGUAUUCCAGCGUGCCAGUUUAUGGGCGUCAUCAGGCCGGAAGGUGUUUCCCGUGUUGAAGCCGCCACACCUGUCUUCCAUCUAGAUUGGCCACUACUUAACUGAGCUUCAGUCAACGCUGGAUGGUUGAGUUACCGAGAACUUGGAGAGGAGUGUGUCAGAGGAGCGAAGUAUUUGUAAAUGUCGAGUGUUGGAGUUGUUUGCCUGUCACACCGGGACCACGAGCACAGUCCUGCAGGAUGGGAAAGUCCUGCAUUGGGGCCUCGUUCUCACCACGCACCUUAACAUUGUCUGAGCCUGAGCCUUUUCAAGGUUCUGUUUUGCCAACUGACCCGCUACAUACAGUCUGUGCCAAAAACCAUUAACGUAAUCUAUCAAGUUCACUGGUGGUUCACCUGAUAACCACUUAUCGCACAGCACUGUCAAGGGUCCCUGAACUUUGUGGCCAAAGACCAAAUCAUUUGGGCUAAACCCAGUACUCUCCUGGCACACUUCUCACGCUGCCAACAGAAGCCACGGCAAACCUUCCUCCCAGUCACUCUUCAUUUCUGUGCAACAGGCACGUAACAAGGACUUCAGCAUUUGAUGGACGCGCUCUAAAGCACCUUGGCUCUGUGGAUGAUAAGGAGAGGCUUUGUUAUGUGUGAUGUUCAACAGCUUGAGAACUUGUGGAAAUAGAUUUGACGAAAAGUUUGAUCCCUGGUCACUCUGAAUAAUCUUCGGUAUGCCAAAUAAUAAACACUUUGAUUGAGAACCUGCAUUUUGUGUUUACUAAGAAUCGUUUUGGAAAUGUAAUUAAUGAUCAAAUGGUAUCAACAACAACAAUAAUAGUAAUAAUAAUGGUCCUAAGACUGAUAAUGAUUACUAUUAGUAUUAAAAGUUUCACUUUCUCCACUUCACCAUGAAGUAAACUUGUUUAUUUGCAAAGAGAAAUAGAGGCAUGGCAGUAUAUGGAUGAUUCAGAUUCAGAAGGUGAGGACCAAUUCAAACUUUUUAUAUUUUGUGUUUAUUGGUUCUUGGAACAUUCAGAGAAUACUCUGAUCACAUUAUUGAAGUUUACAGAUACAGUUACAGUACAUCUGUAUGUGCACAGCUGUGGUCCAGUGUAGUUAUGUGGAGCCUCAGCAAAGACGAAUAUUGUCAGAAACGUCAGUGUUAUUGUUUCACUGGAUUUAAAAAAAAUGUAUUUAAUAUAACUGAAAAUGAAUAGGAAACCUAUAACAGAUGAUUCAACACAUUAACCUUAAUAAGCAAUCGUACUGGCAAUGAUUGCUCGCACUAAGUCAGUCAUCCAUCAAGAAUGCAGUGUUUAUUUAAGGUUUUGUUUCUUUUAUUACACUCUCAGCUGACAUGCGGUUUUCAAACAUUACCUUUAAACUGUUUAAUAUAGCGGUCAUGCCAUUCACUCACCUUUCAUCUUUAAUAGUUUUUGAGAUGUUGGUGAAAAAAGUGUUCAUGACAGUGCAGAUUUCUGGCAUUUUGUGUAAAUUUAAGCACGUAAGAAUUGGAUUAUUUCUAAUAAAAACAGAAUGUGAAACUGA